UUGGGUGGCCACUCCACCCCGUGCCCAAUCUCGUCUGAUCUCAGAAGCUAAGCAGGGUUGGGCGUGGCUAGUAUUUGGAUGGGAGAUGGCACUCUCUUGUCCCAUCUGUC
rnacentral:rRNA from 1 species